rnacentral:snRNA from 1 species
AUCUGACCAGUUCAACCGGUUAG